GUAAUACCGGCGCCUCAAGUGGUAGUCGCUUUUAUUGGGCCUAAAACGUCCGUAGCCGGUUUGGUACAUUCGUGGGUAAAUCAACUCGCUCAACGAGUUGAAUUCUGCGAGGACGGCCAGACUUGGGACCGGGAGAGGUGUGGGGUACUCUCAGGGUAGGGGUAAAAUCCUGUCAUCCUUAGAGGACCACCAGUUGCGAAGGCGCCACACUAGAACGGAUCCGACGGUCAGGGACGAAGCCUAGGGGCACGAACCGGAUUAGAUACCCGGGUAGUCCUAGGUGUAAACGCUGUGAACUUGGUGUCGGGAGUCCGCAAUGGGCCCCCGGUGCCGGAGUGAAGAUGUUAAGUUCACUGCCUGGGGAGUACGGUCGCAAGGCUGAAACUUAAAGGAAUUGGCGGGGGAGCACUGCAACGCGAGGAGCGUGCGGUUUAAUUGGAUUCAACGCCGGAAAACUCACCAUGGCCGACUGUUAGAUGAAGAUCAGCGUAAUGAGCUUAUCGGAUUUUCAGAGAGGUGGUGCAUGGCCGUCGUCAGUUCGUACUGUAAAGCGUUCUGUUAAGUCAGAUAACGAACGAGACCCUCAUCUCUAUUUGCUACCCUUCUCUCCGGAGGAGGCGCCCCAUAGCGAGACCGCUGGUGUUAAAUCAGAGGAAGGCGCGGGCAACGACAGGUCAGUAUGCCCCGAAUGUCAUGGGCUACACGCGCGCUACAAAGGACGGGACAAUGGGAAGCCAGAUCGAGAGAUCGAGCUAACCCGAAACCCGUUCAUAGUUCGGAUUGUGGGCUGUAACUCGCCCACAUGAAGCUGGAUUGCGUAGUAAUCGUGUUUCAACAUAGCACGGUGAAUAUGCCCCUGCUCCUUGCACACACCGCCCGUCAAACCAUCUUAGUUGGGGGUGGGUGAGGCUGCGCUUUAUGGCGUAUUCGAGCCUGUCUUUAACAAGGAGGGUUAAGUCGUAACAAGGUACCUGUAGGGGAACCUGCAGGUG
rnacentral:rRNA from 1 species